AUACGGAGGAUGCAAGCGUUAUCCGGAUUUAUUGGGUUUAAAGGGUUCGUAGGCGGAAAAUUAAGUCAGUGGUGAAAGCCUGCAGCUCAACUGCAGAACUGCCAUUGAUACUGAUUUUCUUGAAUUUAUAUGAAGUGGGCGGAAUGCGUCAUGUAGCGGUGAAAUGCACAGAUAUGACGCAGAACACCAAUUGCGAAGGCAGGUCACUAAUGUAAUAUUGACGCUGAGGAACGAAAGCAUGGGGAGCGAACAGGAUUAGAAACCCCAGUAGUCC
rnacentral:rRNA from 1 species